rnacentral:sRNA from 1 species
AUGAUUACGCUCUCACCAGCAGCUACCUGGCAGAUCCGGAUUCUCAGCUCUGCCCUGUGGCCUCUCUCUCCCAACAGCUUACAGGAUGGAAAAGAAUAUUUAUUCCAGGCCAAGGAUGAGGCAGAGAUGAGCUCGUGGCUACGGGUGGUGAAUGCAGCCAUUGCCACAGCGUCUUCUGCCUCUGGAGAGCCUGAAGAGCCGGUGGUGCCCAGCACCACCCGGGGCAUGACCCGGGCCAUGACCAUGCCCCCAGUGUCACCCGUCGGGGCUGAGGGGCCUGUUGUGCUCCGCAGCAAAGAUGGCAGAGAACGAGAGCGAGAAAAACGCUUCAGCUUCUUUAAGAAGAACAAGUAGUUGAGGGCAAGGUCCCAGGCCAACUCGCUCCCUCCGUUCAGGAAACUGCCAGGGACAGUCGACAGGGACCGCCCUCUUGUCAGGACAACUGCCUGCUGCUAGGGUCUGUUGCCAAGGUCAACCCAUCACCAGGAACUGUCACUGGGGACAAGUCCAUGUUCCCAAGGGCAGCCCUUCUCUUCUGCUGUUUAAUUCCAGACUGGUGGUGGGACCCAGGCA